AGACAGAUUAGCUCACUGUAAAAUCUGUUUUUCUUCCUUUGCCAGGAAGCCAUCAACAGAGACUCUUUCCUCUAUCCUGUUGUAGAGUUGAUUGACAGGGUUCUUUGUGCCUGGAAAGCAAAUUAUGUUAAAAUUAUCUUCACGACCUAUUUAUAAGUGCCACGAUUCCUCAGCACUCUUUGGUUAUAAUCUGUGUCCUCAGGUGAGUGGGGUCUCCCGGGUCCCAUGGCGCCCCCUGCCUGUUCAGGUCAGGCUUCUAACUUACCUUGGAGAGUGCUCUGCCCGCCGUCACCACGCGAUGGUGUUGUGACCUCACGUGGGGCAAGUCAUGCAGGCCGAGUCGGCGUUCCUGAGCUCCCAUGCAGCGAAUGCAUCACCUCGGGAGAAAACUGUGUUCAAUGUCCUCUUAAUGACGUUGGCAUUUUCACCAUCGGUGCAGCUUGUGUUUCUAAAACAUGACUACCUCACCCACAUUGCCUAUCCCUAAGGCAUUUCAGCCACCCAGAGCCCCUUCGGAAUCUGCUUUCCUUUCUCACGGACUUACCUUUUGAACAUGCGUGUACCAAAUGGUAUUUUAUAAGUCGUAGUCUUCUCGUAUCAAAACGAGUCCUGGCCGCCAGCAGAACGUCUGAUCAGCCUAGGUGAUCGGCCUGCCCAGAGAGAGCUGCUGUCAUUUCCACUUGAGGAUGCGUGUGGGCUUGGUCACUUUGUGCAGCCUGGUGGUGUGAGUGAGGUCUCAGCCUUAGGUGGGCUUCUGAAGGGUGACCUAUGACUCCUCUCUUCUCUGAGAGUACCUGGGUGGAGCGUACUGGGGUCCCAGGAUGAUGGAUGAUGGGCCACUUUCUACUGGGGCGGGCAGUGAAGACUUCAUCUGGAGGUGCUUGUCUUAUCCGCAGGGACUGUCUGUCUCAACCACGUGAGCAGCGUUAAGGCCGCUCUGCAGCUCUUUGUGCGGAUGCAGCUAUUAUUCAUCCCGAUGGGGCCAGCGGCGUUUCUAUGCCUCCAAAAGGUCUUCUGGCUCUUAGUUGCCUCUCUCUAGCCUUUGUUUCCAAAAUUGGCUCUUUUCCUGUUUGGGGGCCGGAGGUUUGGAGUUCAGUGCCGCGUGAAACAAUUUUGUAGGAACUGUGUGUGUUGAUAUUUCUAAACAAUGGAGGUCGUAAAGAAAAAAAUCCCAAGACACCAGAUUCAGUGCCAGCUCAGUACUAGGCACCAUGAAAGGAGCAGGGGUACACAGGGAAAUGAGACUGGCUUUGUUCCCAAGGCGCUGUGCUCGGCGAGAGACAGAAUGUCUGCCUGGUGCUGUGAGCGCAGAGCCCUGGGUGGGGAAAGGAUCUGAAGUGGAGACAUUUCCCAGUUGCUGAUGGUACAGCAGGGCUGGAAGGGUGUGGAGCUGGGCAUAGGUAUUGUGGGCAUCAGGCGUGCCGCACCCAAGGCGGGAAUGCAUGGGGACGCUGAGGCGAGUGACUGGAGGCAGGCUGGCAUGGUGGAUGGUCUGCUUUCUGAAGGCUUGUGGUUGCCAGGCCUGAGAGUGACUGCUCAUCGUAUGUGACUUCUCUCCACUCACACUACUUCCCAUCACCCUUCGAGCCCCUGGAGGGUAGGGCCCUAUUCUCAAUAAAUGACAGAUCAGUGAUUGCAGUGUUUCCAGCAGCCCUCAGAUCUCCCAGGGCUAGAAAUCGCAGGGCGUCAUGUUGCAUGUAGGCUGCAAGCUGUGAGCAGCUCUGUGUGUGUCCUCAUUCCAGCCCUGGCUGGAAAGUGCAGUCUGUCUGGGACCGCUCCCAUGGCACAGAGCAGAAGCAAAGGGCUGGUGGAAGGUCCCAGUGCCUCUUUGAGCUUUGCCAGGACAGUGUGUGUCACAUCACUUUCCGUGGGCCAGCUGAUGGCACAAGGCCAAGCCCAACAUCAAUGGGCAGGAAUGUAUAAUCCUUUUACAGGGAAGUGAAUCUUCAAGAACAGUGAUACAGGCUGCUACUCAGAGCACUUGAAGGAUUUGAAUCUGGGAAGUAAUGUGAUCCUAUUUAUAAUUUUUAGAAAGUUCAUUCUGGUGCAAGUGGCCUGGAAAAGUGCAGAUAGAUUCAGGGUCAGCGUAGGUGGGAAAUACAUUUAUAGCUGCCUGUGCCGAGCGGGCUCUGGGCAGAGGGUCAAGCUGUUGGAGUGGGGAUGCUGAAGAAAGAAAAGCUUUAAGAGGUAUCUCCGAGGAAGAUGGAGUCAGAGAAUCUAGUGACUGGUGGUGUGAGGGAGCCUCAGGGUCCCAGUGAGUCAUGCUGGGCAUUGGAGUCACGGUGGAUGACAGUGACCUCAUCUAAGAGGACACGAGAGGAAGAGCAGAUUGGGCAGGCCGAAGGCAUUUGAUGUUGGCCACUGGGUCCUGGCACCAUGAGAAUGGAGGUGUUGGUGGACGAAAUCACCCAGUGGGCUCUUGUCAGGCAGGAGCAGAGAGCAUGGACAGAGCCCACCCCUGACAUUUCCAUAGGAGGGAGGAUGCUGACGUGGAGGACCUCCUGUGUGUCUGACAUUGUUGCAGGAGUCUCUGUAGAGUCUCCUGUUGGAUUUCCAGCAACUCUCCAGAGUAGAUUCUCUUUACCACUGUUUCGUUUAACGGUUGUGGGAACCGAGGCCCACAGAGGUCAAGAUACCUGCUCCAAGGUCAUCCAGCAGAUGAGCCUGAACCUGCAGUAACUCCCGGACUCGGAGCACAAGCACGUGGCUUGUGUGUUCCUUCUCAAGUAGGACCACUCCUGGUGUCCUUUGGUUCAAGAUCAUAUCUAGUAUAUAAUGAAAUUUUGUUUUAUGCAGUUUUUCAAGUGAGUUCACACCCAUGGUCUGAUUGAAAAAGUAAUUAGUAUUCCUAUUAGAGCUUUAGGAUAAAUACCCAACUUUCUCUCCUCUUAGCUGAUUAGAUUCCAUCUUUCUCUGUGCUUCAGUAUACAUUCCACAAAAAACAAAACAACUCCUGCGGUUUUCAGAACCCGGUGCUGGUGCCGUCGAGAGACUGUUUAGGCGGGUGUCCCCUUCUGUGGAAUCUCGCGUGGGGUUCAGCAGUCCAGGGCCGGGCCUUGGAGGCCAUCAGCCUUCCUUAUCGGCUGUGCAACUAAUGAUCUUUGGUCAAUUGGGACUGGACUGAGGACUCUGCAGUGUGGAAAACCAGUUCUGCGGUGACCUCUCCCUCAUUUUUGGAGACCCCAGGUGGGCCUAACCUGGAGGC
rnacentral:lncRNA from 1 species